rnacentral:rRNA from 1 species
AAAUUUGAAAUCUGGCGCCUUUGGCGUCCGAGUUGUAAUUUGGAGAGGCAUCUUCGGGUGCGGCGCCGGCCUAAGUUCCUUGGAACAGGACGUCAUAGAGGGUGAGAAUCCCGUUCUCGGCUGGCUGUCCGCGUCCAUGUGAAGUGUCUUCGACGAGUCGAGUUGUUUGGGAAUGCAGCUCAAAAUGGGUGGUAAACUCCAUCUAAAGCUAAAUACUGGCGAGAGACCGAUAGCGCACAAGUAGAGUGAUCGAAAGAUGAAAAGCACUUUGAAAAGAGAGUUAAAAAGUACGUGAAAUUGUUGAAAGGGAAGCGCUUGAGACCAGACUCGGCGGGAGGUAUUCAUCGUCCCUUCUGGGGCGUGCACUUGCCUCUCGUCGGGCCAGCAUCGGUUGCGGCGGCGGGAUAAAGACCCGGGGAACGUGGCUGCUCUCGGGCAGUGUUAUAGCCCCGGGUGUCAUGCCGCCUGCUGCGACCGAGGACCGCGCUUCGGCUAGGAUGCUGGCACAAUGGUCUUCAGCGACCCGUCUUGAAACACGGACCAAGGAGUCUAACAUCUAUGCGAGUGUUCGGGUGGAAAACCCUUGCGCGUAAUGAAAGUGAACGGAGGUGUGAAGCCGCAAGGCUGCAACAUCGACCGAUCCUGAUGUCUUCGGAUGGAUUUGAGUAGGAGCAUAGCUGUUGGGACCCGAAAGAUGGUGAACUAUGCCUGAAUAGGGUG